GAUGAACGCUAGCUACAGGCUUAACACAUGCAAGUCGAGGGGCAGCAUGGUCUUAGCUUGCUAAGGCCGAUGGCGACCGGCGCACGGGUGAGUAACACGUAUCCAACCUGCCGUCUACUCUUGGACAGCCUUCUGAAAGGAAGAUUAAUACAAGCUGGCAUCAUGGGUCCGCAUGUUCACAUGAUUAAAGGUAUUCCGGUAGACGAUGGGGAUGCGUUCCAUUAGAUAGUAGGCGGGGUAACGGCCCACCUAGUCUUCGAUGGAUAGGGGUUCUGAGAGGAAGGUCCCCCACGUUGGAACUGAGACACGGUCCAAACUCCUACGGGAGGCAGCAGUGAGGAAUAUUGGUCAAUGGGCGAGAGCCUGAACCAGCCAAGUAGCGUGAAGGAUGACUGCCCUAUGGGUUGUAAACUUCUUUUAUAAAGGAAUAAAGUCGGGUAUGGAUACCCGUUUGCAUGUACUUUAUGAAUAAGGAUCGGCUAACUCCGUG
rnacentral:rRNA from 1 species